UUAUUUUAUUAGUCAAUAUCUGGUAUUCUCAUUCUUAUUCACCAUUAGUACAAACCAUGAAUCAUACAUCCCUGUCGUUUGGUUCGCAUUAGUAAUGGCAAAAUGGAUAAAAAUAAUAAUUAUCCAUUCAUAUUAUCCACUAAAAAAUGGGUUGAAUAAUGAACUUAAAAAUGGUUCAAAUAUGGAUAAGAUACUUAUUAUCCACUUAAAAAAUAGAUAACCAAUAUGUUUAAUUUUUAUUUUUGUAAAGACUCAAAUAGGUGGAAUUCUUUUCGGGUUUUUUUUUAUCUAAUUAUACUAUAUUAGAAACUUAUUUACCUAUGUUCUCUGUGUUUUGUAGUUUUUAAUAAGUAUCUUAGGUUUUCUUACAAAUUAUGUAGAUUGCUCUUUAAAAGGCUCUCAUCCCAUUAUUAGUGCCUUCAAUUAAGGGAUUCAAUUAUAUCAUUUUCUUUUUUUCCCUCUCCUCCUCUCUCUUUUUUUUUUUUACAUCAAAAUCCCUUAGAGCCCGUUUCGACAUAAAAAAAAAUUCACAUUUUUUCAAAAAAAUUUUUAAUUUUUUCCGAAAUCAAUGUUUGGCCAUAAAUUUUCAAAUUUUACUUAGAAGAUGGAUUUUGGAAUUUUUCGAAAAUUUUAAAAACUCCAAAAAGUUAUUUUUUCAAAAUUUUCNNNNNNNNNNNNNNNNNNNNNNNNNNNNNNNNNNNNNNNNNNNNNNNNNNNNNNNNNNNNNNNNNNNNNNNNNNNNNNNNNNNNNNNNNNNNNNNNNNNNNNNNNNNNNNNNNNNNNNNNNNNNNNNNNNNNNNNNNNNNNNNNNNNNNNNNNNNNNNNNNNNNNNNNNNNNNNNNNNNNNNNNNNNNNNNNNNNNNNNNNNNNNNNNNNNNNNNNNNNNNNNNNNNNNNNNNNNNNNNNNNNNNNACACAACUCUAAUUUUCAAAUACCAUUUUCACUUGUAAAAAAAAUUCACUUUUUUCGGAAUUUUACAAUUCUUAUGUCCAAACGCCCACUUAAUCUACGCCCAGAAUCUCCAUCUUCUCUCUUUCCACCAUAGCCGACAACUAUAUAUUAUUAAAAAAUCAUCAAUCGUUCUUUUGCUGGGAGACUGAACAACACUGAAAAUGAAGAAAUAUUCAGGAUUUGUAUGAUAAUUGUAUCAUAAUUGUAUUUGAAUUGUAUCAGACACAUCAAUGCCUAAAACGUAACUGUAUCAUACUUGUAUCACAAUUGUAUCUAACUUGUAUAUAGUACAUUAAUACCCAAAAUAAUACCCGAUACAAUACUAAUAAAUUAAUAUAUAAUUAUCAUAUAUUUGUGAUACAAACUGUGAAAUUCGUCACGAACUCACAAUUGCUCGUAACAAUGUACAAUGAAUAUACAAUUAUCAUACAUUUUUAAUACAAUUCCUUCAACAAUUAUGAUACAUAUACAAUUAUAAUACAAUCGCGAUACAUUUUUGAAAAUUUGUGAUACAAUUAUGAUCUUCAUCUUCUUCAAGUUUCAAUCGCAACUCUACACUAAAAAGCUAAUAUAAUCGUAUUAUAAUUAUAUUAGUAUUGUGUCAAGUAUUGUUUUGGAUAUUGAUGUAUCAUAUACAAGUCACGUAUAAUAAAGAUUUUAGAAAGAAAGAAAACAAGAUUCAAAAGUUACCUACAACUUGAUUCUAGAGCAAUAUUUCGAAUUUCGUCUGCAUUGUAUCAAUAAGAAAGAUAGAUUUUGGGUGAUUUGGUAAGAAAGAGGAAAAUUGAGUUUGAAAAGCUUUGGAAACGAAAAUGAAUCGACACUUUGGGGGGAUAACAGCGGGUAUAAAAAUUAAGAGAGAUUUUGGGUGAUUAUUAAGAGAGAAAAUAUUUUUGAAAUCCUUUGGAAAAGGAACAUAAUCUUAAAUGUAGGGAUUAUUACAAAUGGGGGUGGGUGUCAUGUAACUGAUAGGCUAAAUUUAAGGGAUCUUGAACUUUCAUCUUUUUUAUGGUUUUGCAAACAACAUGAUGAAAACAAGUAUAUAAAAAAAAUAGUUGUUAUAUGCUAAUACGUAUACAGAGAACGUAACAUAGCAAGUUGAUUCAAUAUCCAUUGUCUUCUUAGCCUUCAAAUUUGUAUUUCAAAUCACAAUAUACCUGCAAGUCCUGCAUCACUAGUUGCUUAGAAUUAGCACGUGAUGGACAUGGAUAAUAAGCAUAAUUUUUCAAGCUCAUGAAGGAAAUCAAAUUAAAAUUAUAAAUUAAUAAGCCUUAUCUUUGAGGAAAAUUACAUCCUUGGAGUGGUGAACACCACGUUGGUUUUGUUAAUUUGUGGUAAAUAAAUUUCUAUUAUAGUAUAUGUAGGUAAAAAUUCCUUUCUCAAAUAUGAGAGACUAGGAACCCUUCCAAAAUUGAUCUUAUUUCAAAAAGUCAUGGAUAAUAUGAAUAUUCAUAUUGUUCGCAUGUUAACCCAUUUUUUAUCUGCAUUAAAAAUGAGUCGAGUCUGAUAUUUUAUUCGUUUUGUAUUUACCCAUUUUGACCCGCUCAUAUCCGACCCGACCCAUCAGUUUGUCAUCACUAGUUUACAUACUAGUUAUGUGUAUUUAACUACAAAAAAAAAGUGUAAUCGUAAUGUAGGAAUUGAUUGUGUGGUGAUUAAUAAUGACGAAAUCUUAUGCAAUCAUUGAUUGAUAAUAAAGAGUUUAUUAUACAAGAAUUUCUUAACUUUAAAGACAAAAUGUCUUUAAAUAGUUCAAUUUUCAUUUUGUUGAUACACGUAUUCUUAUUUCAUAUUUUACUAUAAACUAAUCAAAAUAACUUAAUUAUGCGAGUAAUAUUUACUAUUGCCAAUCAAACGUUAAUGCUUGUGAUUAUUUUUUCAUAUGCAGCCAAUCAUACACAACAUUAGUCAUGUGACAAUUAUUUUCUUUUAAUGCGGGUUUUUUCACUUGGGUUAAUUAAGCCAAAACAAUCAAACAAACGACCAAAAGGAUAAUAUGCUCAAUCUAAAAAUUUGGAUAUCACCUCUCUCCUUAUAAAACUAGUUUUAUGAAGUGUUGGGGACGAGAUUUGGAGCAGAGACGGAUCCAGGAUUUAAAUUCUAUGGGUUCAAUUUUUAACAUUGAAUCCAUUAUAUAUUUAAAGUUAUCGGUUCAAAUUUAUUAUUUUUGUAAUUUUAAUAAAUUUUUACACAUGAAUUUUGACUCCGCGUCAAAAAUUAUGGGUUCAAUUGAACCCGUAACUCUCACACGUGAUCCGCCUCGGUUUGGAGGUCAAUCUUUCUCUAUUGAGGGUAUAAUUAUUUCAUCAAUAACAAGUUGGUCAAAAUUGAAUACUCUUAAGAGUGGUCUCUUCCACAGUUCCACGCAUCCUUCAUCUAUAACAAGAUAAGAAUAAAGACAAAUUGUUUCAAACAUUAACGAUUAGCAGCAAUAAACAACUAUAAUAGCUAUGUGGUCUCUAUCAACUCUAGCUAGACUAGUGUAUGCAUGGGAACCCAAGUAGGAAGCAAAGGUUAAUUUCUUCUUAUAACGAUUGUGUUUUAAGUCAAUUUGUCCACAUUUCCUCAACGAUUCUAUUAUGUAUUUGAUAUCUCUACCCGCACAAACUAGUAAUUCUGUCUAUAAAGGUUUAAACUGAUGGAAAAAAAUAUGAACUAAGAUUCUUAAUUUCUCUAAAAUUAGGGAUGGCAAUGCGGCGGGCUACUUAGCUAAAACUAUCAGAUUCAUUUUUUUUUUUGGCCACUAAGAGGGGCUCAAGAGGGAGGCUCGUAAAGUGUAAAAAUUUAUCUGCAUCGAGUAUUUAUACCAAGUCAAUGAAAUUAAGACAUUGUUUUGCAUAUACCCAUUUUAGCACACAACCAUGGUUAAGUGAUAUGCAUUUUUUAUUUUAAUUUGUUAAUUAUUAAGGUUAAUUAUUUAGUUAGGUGUAAAUACUCGGUGUGAAUAACUAUUUAUAUUAGUAAAGCAUUUGCUUUAGGCCCCUACAAUUUUGGGGCUCCAAAAAUUUUAAGAAUUUGUUUUGGGACCCUUACUGAAUUUUAUGAUAUUUUUUUGCUUUAGUAAAAAAAAUUACAAAACUUUAUAAAAGAAUAAAGAAAGAAAGAAAGAAAGAUUGCUUACUUUUUAAUAGUAGAAAUAUUUUAUAACUUUCAGUUAAACUAUUCAAUCUUCAUAUUAGAAAAUAAAUUCUUUUAUAACAAGAUCCAAGGCAAUGUAUAACACAUGACUAAACAUCUUAUUAACUUGAAUUAAUAAAUACUAAUAUUACUAUGAGAUAUUUGUUGCAAACUUACAUGCUUUAUGUCUCAUAAGAAUAUUACACUAUAAAUAUAAAGUACGAAAGAAAAAAAGAAAGGCGAUAUAAGUUUUUGGAUAUGUAUAUGUAUAUAAUUUAAGGUCUCUUAUUAAAAUUUAACUUUAGAACACUAAUAUUAUUGAGCCGCCUUUAUUACCCAUUUGUUAUGCCACUCACGCCUCGUUUAGCACCCUUCCCCUCCCUUGAUUGAAUUAACCUCACCCUGUAAAGAAGCCCCUGAUUGUGGAGAAGUUCCUAUGGAGCUAAUGUAACACCACCCCGUGGAGAAGGAGCAGCAGUCUCCACUGAUGGUGUAGAAAUAGGAGAAAAAGCCGAUGCAUGAAUUAUGUCUGACCACGUUCACAAAUGCGAGGCAGCAUUGAAUUGUUUAAUUUAGUUAGCUUAUGAUUUAACAAUAAAUAAAGAUGAGAGAAUGCUCACAUAUGUUAGUGUGCAAUAACUUUUGGAAAUUAAAAGGAAUGAUGAACGGUAGGUUAAGAUAUACUCUUAUUCGUUUUCAAUAACCAAUGGAGAUGUAAUUCAAGUGAACUGAAAAAGCAUUGUUACACUUGAAUCCACUUCCAAAAGCAAUCUGCCAAAUUCUGUCACCUCUCUUCAUUCUUCCUUUAGCCUCAAUGUAACUCAGUUCAUACCACAGUGAAGAUGAAGAAGGGAUAACUAAGCUGACACGCCGGAGUUGGCUGUUGGAAAAUAAUGUUUACCCGAAAAACGGAUAGAGUUGAAUUUGUACGUAGUUCUAAGGAUAUGUGGUAUAGCUUGAUACAAAUCGUAGGGAUAAAUAGAAAUAUCAAAUAUGGAUUGCAAAGUAUGCAAAAUAAAUAAGGUUGGAAAGAAGAUGAUUUUUAGAACUAAGCACAAUGAAUCAAUUAAUGAAGAUUAAAUGAAUAUAGGAGAAUAUUGUGCUUGAAUUACAAUGUAAGCAAAAAAUGCCCUCUACAGAAAUNNNNNNNNNNNNNNNNNNNNNNNNNAGUUUUUCCCUAAUUUCCGCCGAGAUUCUCUCCCUUAGUGUGUUUGCAACGGCUCUUGUCUGUGAGCUAGAGCUCGAUCGGCCUCGGUGUUGGUCGGUAUUGCUUCUAGAGCUCGAUAUGGACUCGGGAUCAGGUGAUGAUUCGGACUCGGACCCGGUUGGCCUCUGCCCCUUAAGUUCGAAAUCAUCUCAUCAUAGUUCGAUUCAGACACGAGCUCGAUAAUGACUUCGAACUCGGAGUUUGACCUAUACCCGAAAUUUGAAGCUUGUUUGUACCAUCUUCGGAACCCAUCUCGAUAUUACGAAAUCUUUCUUCGAUCCAUUAUGUUUCGACCUCGAUCAAUCGUACGAAAGUCGAAAUCUAUUUCGACCGUAUACAAACAAAAAUAUGUGAUUUAAUAAAUUAGAACCCAUUGUGGGGUGCAACCAGGGAACUAUUUCCCACUUUCGUCGCUACUUUGAUUCAAAAGUAACCUACUGGUCUGUUACCUGUUGAGAUAUAAUAUUUUUAGGUAAUAAAAAGUUUGAUGUCUUUUAUAUUUUAAAAUUUUAGAUAAGAUAGUUACUGGAUUAAUUUAAUAUAAUAUCAGAGGUCACUCAAAUCUACGUAGAAAUGACACCAGUGUGGCACCCUAGGCAAAUCCCACAUCGACAAAACACGGGAGAGAUGCUGGGUAUAUAAGUAGACAUGCCUUAGACCCUAGUGACGCGUUUUAAACCCGUGAGGGCCUAGCCCCAGAGCGGACAAUAUCAUUAGCGGGCUGGGCUAUUACAACCAGGUAGCCACUUUAAAUGGCUGCUACUUAGGAAUUAGCCAGUGCGUCUUGAAUUUCAGUUUUUCAGUUCAAAUUUAUAGGACAAAAAUAUCCUGCAUUGUCCUGAAGUUAAGAGUUUUAGUUUAAAGUUUCGAGAUAAAAAAUAAAUACUGGCUAAUCUCUAAAUAGCAUCCCUGAGAAUGAAAAUAUGUGCACUUGUCCCAAAUAUUAUUGCCACCCAAAAGACAAUAUUUUCACAUGUUUAGCCCACGAAGGUGUGUUGAGACAUAUUCACAUACUGUAUUUCAUUCUAUAUGAUACUCUUUUGUUUUUAGUUUGUUCCAAAUUAAAAGAACAAAACCUUUCUAUUUUGAAAAUUCUUUGACUUUAAAGUUAUUAUUUUACAUUUAAUGACAUGUUCUUAUAACUAUAAGAAUAUCAUGUCAUGUUUAACACCACAAGUUCGAAAGGUAACUUUUAGAAUUUGUCAAAAGCCUUUCUUUUUUAUAUUCUAUAUUCAGUCAAAUAUUAUCAUACAAAAUAAAAAGGACAGUAAAUAUAAUUAAGUAGUGAAAAGUGUAAUUUCUCUAAUAAUUUAAACUUUUUGAUGGGAUAGUCACGAGAUUUAAUAUUAUUGACUCGGUGCAGUGUCUGUCAUUCUUGAAGCCUCAACCACCCGCAUGGAUACAGAAGUGUCCGAAAGCUUGCUUGAAAUCAGGAAUGUCAAAAUUUCCCUUCGGAGUUGAAAAUUUUCCUGCUAAUGUGUGAGGAGAAAAAGCAGCUGCUCUGAUGCUGGGAGAAGUAAAGGACCAAUUAUUGUAAUGUUUGAUUUCAAAGCUUCCCCUGCUAUUAUCUGUUGCGACAUAAUAUAACUAAAUAAUAAAAUAUCAAAUCCUACUGUCACCAAAAAUGAAAAAAUAUUUUCACGUACUUGACCUAUACAACAACAUACUCGGUGUAUUUUCACAAGUGGAGUAUGGGUGUACUUGACCUAUGAAAUAAUAUAUUACAUUACCAUAAGGUCUUUGGAAAGGUUAUACCAACUUUGCCCUGUGGAUCUUCUUGUUCAAAAACACAUCUAAAAGGCCUUAUCAUCUGCACCUUUGUGUGUUCUAACAACAUUCAUUAAAAACAAGCAAUAAUGCUAGAACAUUUUAUGUUACUUUUCAACUUGUAUUUGUUCACUACCAUAGCUGAUAAAGAUGGAGUUGAAGGUGAACUUCAGCACAUUUGGCAUGAUUCUAGAACCUUUUUGGAAGAAAGUUUUUAUGGUAUUUACCCCAAUUUGGAUGCUCAGUCGAAUUUGGAUCAUUCCAAAAGGGCACGAGGAUUCUUUAGGAAGUCUCACAUUAGUUAGGCAUAACAGAUUUAAGAAAACAGUGGUACUUUCCCAAAUUUGAAGAGUGACAACCUUAAUUAAUUGACUAUGACAAUGGUUUUUUAUUUAUUUCCUGUGAUAGAUUCUUUGUCUAGCGGAUUUGGUGCCCAGUAUUAUUCAUCUAAGUCUUUUCUGCGGUAUAUAAAAGUUAAACUUGAUAUAGUAAUCACUUCAAAAUAUGCUACCAAGCAAUAAUAGCUUGUCAUAUUAAUAAGUUUGUUGGCCCCUCCCAAAGGCGGAUCCACGAUAUAGGAAGAUGGGUGCAUAUUACAAAAGGCGAAUUCAGAAUAUUAAUUUUACAAGUUCAACUUUUAGUUCUUACUAUUGCACCUAUUACACUCCUUAAAUUAUAAGUUUCCUUUCUUUUUUUUAAAGUAGUGAUUUACUAUCAUCUAGAUUUGUACUCCGUGUGGAAAAUAUUGGAAUUAAUUGGACUCACUUAUUAUAUGCUACACCAUCCAUUACAACUAAUUUUAAUAUACAUAUUUCGUUUAAUCAUAUAAGAUUUUAAGAUGACAAAAGAAAAAUAGGAGUUUCAGUGGGUGUGAAUUUUUUAAAAAAUAAACCAAACGAAGAAAGAAAAAAGUAGUACUUGAUUAAUACACAAAAUUGACACCAGACAUGACCAUCUCCCGUAGGCGCCUAGUUCUAUAAGAAAAAGAAAAAAAAAGAUUGAUAUAAGAUUUGAACUCGCAACUUCACAUGCAGAGGUGUAUCCGAUAAUCAUCGCAUGAUAUAUGAUACUUUGAGCUUGAAUGUGCCCCGUGGACCUUCCCCUAGAUACACCCCUGCCCCCUUCUAUGCCCACAACUGCGACUUUUAAAACAAGUCACUUUAAUAUUUUUUAAACUAGUUUAAUGGAAUUUCACAUUUUGGGACGGCGUAUUUCUCUUGCCCUUUUGGUACAAACUUAAUCAUUUCCAGUUUCCUUGGACAAGGAGAAGCAAUUUUGCACAGUUUGUUUUGUUUAGGCAGUAAAUAAAAACAAGCUUAAAGCAGUUCCAAACUUCCAAUCAAUCAAACAAAUUAUAUGGAUCAAAUCAACUUCUAUAUCAUAUUCUCUAUGCUGCAACAAACACCUUGACAACCAGAAUUACGUUUAUAUUUUAAUUUUCACGGACUAUGUUCUCCGAAAAAGUCAAUAUCAGGCAAUUAUAUGCCUUUCGAUUUACCACGGGGAGUAGUCAUGCGAUGCAAAUGAAUAUAGGGUGUACGCAGCCUUACCCCUGUUAUGAGAAGGUAGAGAGGUUGUUACUGAUCUGUUGUUCAACACCAUGACAAAAAAAUAGCAUGUCCGAUGAUAUAGACAACUAACAGCAUCACAUACAUAAUCACAUAGUUGUAGAAUGGAAAAAAAGAUAAGAAGAAACUUUGAAAUAAGUAGAAUCAUAGAGCACUACAGAGUAGUCUAAACAGGUAAUUUCUUCUGCUUGGUGUCAAUAAUAGCAUUCUAUGAGGCAGACACAGAGAAUUGCACACUAUAACCUUUUUUACUAUCAUACUUUGUUUUGUUUCUCUUCCUUAUAAAACUGACUCUCGUCAUUCAUAUCUUACCGUGUAGAAUAAGGAAUAAUCAACAACAAACUCAGUGUAAUCCGACAAGAGGGGUCUGAGAAGGGUAAUGUGUACAUAGACCUUAUCCCUACCUUGUGAAGGUAGAAAGGCAGAAUAAGGAAUCAAACAACGAUAUUUUGUAGAAUUAAGAGGUAAUCAUAGCAUGCAUCCAGAUUCUAGAGAUAGGAACUGAAUGACAGUCACUUAAUUCCCGCGCCUCUGUAAUUACAGAGGAUUGGCUUCUCAAACAGAUUUGAUUAUGAAAAUCUCCAGAUGAUACCAAAGCAUUCAAAAUAUCAAGUAGGAUCGGGACAAGACACAACAUGCUAAAAUGAUAUUGUGAAAGCACUAGUGGGAUUAUAUACUGGGUUGUUGUUGUUGUUGUUGUUACUCUGUUUAGGCAUGACAUUUUGACUAUUACAGGUGAAGAGAGAAAUUAACAAAGUACGUAAGCAGUUUCAGCAAACAAAUUAGAUGUAGUUAAACAAUCCAAUUUCCUGAUGCUAAGCAUUAACAGGAAAUCAGAGUUUCAAGCAUGACUGAUAGGAAAGCAUAUUAGCAUCCCUGCAACCAGAAGAUAUGGGAUUGUGUAAGUUACUGAGAGAUAUCACAAGGCCAAAAAAGAAUUAGCAUUACCCGACUAGGGGAUGAACUGCUGGCCUCCAAUCAUAUUACUCAUAAGUGUCCCAUUCAGUGCUCAGAGUAAUUAGUAACUUUUCUCUCUUUUUUUCUUUUUCUUUGAGCUUGGUGAAGAGAGAGAGAAUUAUUUCAGCUAAGUUCUGCAAAUUAUUUCAGCAAACAGAAUAUGUGCAAGUGAAUAUAGAUCAGUAUACAAAGGCAUCGAGAACGCAAAUAUAAAGUUCAGGAGAUUGACACUUUCCGAAAUAAGCACUAGAGAAAUUUCAUCAAUGUUAUAUUUCCUCUUUUUGUUUGAUAAGUCAGAGCUGUUGCAUGAACAUUCUUUUUAUACAUUUGUACAUGGGAGUUUUCUAUAUAUAAGAUUAAUCACCAAAUAAAAAAAAAGUCAGGAGCUAAUAAUUACUUCUCUUUCCUUCCAGUUAAUUUAAUGGACAAAAUGAUAUUCUUUCAACUGGAACAUUGUGGAAUUCCAAAACAAUGUUUGGUAUAAAAGAAGAUAUGCAACCAGAUCUUCACAAAUCAGAUCCAAUAACAAAGACAAUGAGGACUCAAGAGAACUCCGCACGCCCGACAAACACAAUACGUUUUGCAGGAAAAGGAUCAUAAUAAAUUUCAAAUGAGGACUUUGGAACCAGUAGACCUCAU
rnacentral:lncRNA from 1 species